rnacentral:rRNA from 1 species
UACGGAGGGGGCAAGCGUUGUUCGGAAUUACUGGGCGUAAAGGGCGCGUAGGCGGCUUGGUAAGUCGGUGGUGAAAUCCCGCGGCUCAACUGCGGAAUUGCCAUCGAUACUGCCGGGCUUGAAUCCGGGAGAGGUCGGCGGAAUUACUGGUGUAGCGGUGAAAUGCGUAGAUAUCAGUAGGAACACCGAUGGCGAAGGCAGCUGGCUGGACCGGAAUUGACGCUGAGGCGCGAAAGCGUGGGUAGCAAACAGG